GACAGAGGGUGCAAACGUUGCUCGGAAUCACUGGGCGUAAAGGGCGUGUAGGCGGGAAGGAAAGUCAGAUGUGAAAUCCCCAGGCUCAACCUGGGAACUGCAUUUGAAACUCCCUUUCUUGAGUACCGGAGAGGAAAGUGGAAUUCCUGGUGUAGAGGUGAAAUUCGUAGAUAUCAGGAGGAACACCAACGGCGAAGGCAGCUCGCUAGGACGGUACUGACGCUGAGGCGCGAAAGCAUGGGGAGCGAACAGG
rnacentral:rRNA from 1 species